GAAAUAAACAGGAAGAUGGGAUGAGCCUCAGCCAAGGGCUUGGGCAAUGAGGGGCUGUGCAGGGGCAGCAGGACUGCAGGCAAGGGAAUGCAUCCCAUCGCUGUGGGGCUGCACCACAGCACCCAGCAGGAGGAUGCUGCACGCAGGCAUGAGCUCACCCCAAUUCUUCCCCUGUCUGACCUCAGCUCCCAGCUCCAGCCAGCAGCAAGUCCCUACAGGAGAGCAUCCACACACAGUGUCCGGGGGGAGAAAAUCGAGGGAUAUAAGGCAGUGAGCAGAGCAGGAGAGCCUCCGGCAGCGGAUGAGCUCGGGCGACAGCACCCAAUUAUUGCAGCUCAGCGGGGGAAAAGGGAAAGAAAGGAAGGAAAGAAAGAGCAAUUAUCGGGACCUCGUCUGUGGCGCGGCACAGGGCUGCAAUUUCAAACCAGGCUGAGUUUGCCCGGCCCUUCUCUCACUCCCAGCACUGAGCACAUGACAGCUCACAUUUAUUUUUCAAUGGGCAGCCACCCAUCUCUGCCCUUCAGCUCCAGGCCUGGCUCCUUGUGCCCAUCCAGCGCCGCAUCCACAUCCAGCACCACGCAGAGCAGUUUCCUGCAGGAUAACCACAGACUUCCAAGGGCUGCAGGUGUCGGUUCCGUGUUGUCCCCCACUCGAGCACAGAUCACAUCCCACAGCACCCCCUGCCCCUGCUCAGCCCUCAUUGACUACUGAAGCCCCGCUGCUGCUGGGGGGCUGCGCUGCUUUUCCCCCUCCCCACCUCACCCUCUCCUACCUUUCCCUCCCGAGUUGCUCCCGGCCCCGAAAUCACAGCCUCGAAUAUUAAAAAAGGUCAGGCUUCAGCUCUGGUGAAGUAGCAGAAAUCAGGGCAGCGUGAAGAGCAGCAGCACAGCGGGACCGCGAGCGGGGUGAGAGGAUAUGGGGGUCCCGGUGCCGUGCCCCCGGCACCUCUCACCCCAACAACGUUUGUGCCAUUCCCCACCACCUCUGGCUCAGCCACUGACAAUUAAAUUUAAUGAUGCCUUUAAGAAAUAAUAGCGUAUGCUGUUUGAAUGGGGCUGCCUGGAGCGGGGCGGGUUGCUGCUUAUUGGGAUGGGCGACGGGGGUGUGUGUGUAUGGGUGGUGACCCCGUAGCGUUUCCCUGCCCAAGGAACUGCCCAACGGGGCCCAGAUCCCCUCGUGAUGGCCGGGGUGGAAUGGCAAAGAGCACAGUAAGGGGACAAGGUGGGGGGUGGCUCAGGGGACAGCGGGGUGACACAUCCCAGCAGGAGAGCAGCCGUUUGCAUCGAUCCUAAAAGCAUUUUGCAGCAUCACCCACUCGAGUGAACCGGCUUCACCCAUCAGAUCCAGCAGCACCCAGGGGCAGAGACACCACCGAGGCCAUUUGGGGGCCGUGCUGGAGCAGGGGGAUGCUCUCGGGGAGCUGAAGAUUACCUGCAAU
ensembl:lncRNA